AAGGGCUACCAAUGGACGAGCUCGCGGCCCAUCAGCUUGUUGGUGAGGUAAUGGCUCACCAAGGCUAAGGACGGGUAGCUGGUCUGAGAGGAUGAUCAGCCACACUGGAACUGAGACACGGUCCAGACUCCUACGGGAGGCAGCAGUGGGGAAUAUUGCGCAAUGGGCGAAAGCCUGACGCAGCCACGCCGCGUGUGCGAUGAAGGUCUUCGGAUCGUAAAGCACUGUGGAGGGAGAAGAAUAAAGCCGGUGAAGAGCCGGCCCUGACGGUAUCCCUUUAGCAAGCACCGGCUAACUCCGUG
rnacentral:rRNA from 1 species